GUUUACUUUUGUGUGGAGGGUGUUCAGCACUAAGGACAGGUCAGUUUAACUGUGUUAAGAUGGUAUUCAGCACCAGGAACAGGUAUGCAACCAC
rnacentral:pre_miRNA from 1 species